UACGGAGGGUCCAAGCGUUAUCCGGAAUCAUUGGGGUUAAAGGGUCCGUAGGCGGUUUUGUAAGUCAGUGGUGAAAGCCCAUCGCUCAACGGUGGAACGGCCAUUGAUACUGCAAGACUUGAAUUAUUAGGAAGUAACUAGAAUAUGUAGUGUAGCGGUGAAAUGCUUAGAUAUUACAUGGAAUACCAAUUGCGAAGGCAGGUUACUACUAAUGGAUUGACGCUGAUGGACGAAAGCGUGGGGAGCGAACAGG
rnacentral:rRNA from 1 species